GCCCUGCAUUCGCUGCUCGGCCGGCGCCUUCCCCUGCUCCGGCAUGCGGCAGUGGCGGUGACCUUCACGCUGGAUGGCUUCCCCUCUUGCAAGCGGAGGUGGAUUCUCAACACAUGGAAAUGGAAGGAACUAAUUCUGUUUACAGAAGCUCCGGAUGUUAAAUAUCUUGCUUGCUUUGUACCUGAGACAUCUGCCUAAUGAAGUGAAUGCUGCACCAUGGCUUGCCUGAUUUCUGCCAUCAUCUUAAAUCCAGGAAUUAUCACCCAUUUCAUUAUGACUGGCAAGCAGACUAAAAAAGAAGAAGCAUUUUCUGCACAGCUGCUUUUUUUUUUGCAAAGAAGGAGAAAGGCUUUUGCCAAGGAAGCAGUGUGUUCUGACCCAGCCUUAGCAGAAGCAAGAAACAAACUCACGAAAAAAAAACCCCUCUUUCUUUACCUCUUGGGAAUUGAUGGCAUUCACCCACCCAAAAGUCCGAGCAAGAGUCCUACAAGGAGUUAAAUGCAGCAACAGACCUUAUCAGUUCCUUGCCAGGCCAUGAGCUCCCAGCCGAAAGGCUGAAAAGCUAAGUUCUGUCAAGCAGUCUCUGUGGCACAAAACACAAUGAGUAAAAUCUUCAGAAAUACGAA